ensembl:lncRNA
UCAUGCUAAAUACAUCAAAUUAUUUAAUUUUUUAUUAUGACAAUUGACAUAUAUUAAGUGAAAGAAAUGACAGAAGUAUUAUAAUAAAACAUUUUGAAAGAAAAAAGUUACACAAUUAGGCCAGUAGCCAUAAAAUAGCUUUUAGGCCUAUCUUAUAACACCAAGAGUUCUGAUCAGACUGUAGUGAGACAUUGAACAUUUCAUUAACAAAAAUAUUGGCACGAGCCACAACAUAUUUUGGUUGUCACUUACAAGGAAUAUUGUAUUCAAACAACUAUGCACUGCAAUUCUAACACACUAGGUGUUCAUACACUGCAGUUAACCCCCGAAGCUUUAAGCUACCAGGAAUUCCCGUAUUUUCUAUGCACAAAAUUUACUUUGUGCGUUAUUGGAAUCACACUUCCAGUUUUCAUGUCUUUCCCCCCCUUAUACAUGCAGUAUGUCUUAAGUGGCAGAGAGCAUGCCAGCUUCUGUUUAGCUAAUACCACAUUCCUUAUUACCUCAAGAGUUUUAUGUUAAUCUUGGAGUCUGCUUUAGCGCUCAUCUCCUAGAAACAAAAUAAAGCAUUCUGAGAACGUAUCUAGGAAUAUUUUUUAUGCAUAGGAAAAUAAAGCAUUUCAUAUAAGCAUGUCUGAAAACCCAAGAGGCAUUUUGAUCAAACACUCCCUGGAUCCUAGCUAUUAGUUUAAAAUGGGAAUCUAACAUAUACCAUCUACAAAUUCUUAUCUGGGAUUUAUAUUCUUUGCCUGGAAAUUUAUGAUUCCCAAGCUUCAUUUCUGAAUAGACGAGGAUAGCAAAGAAACUGACAUCCCACAAUAACUGGAAAUAGAUAAAGGUAACUUAGGUAGAAGUUAUGAAUUUAAUUCUUUACAAGAAUACACUUGUGCUACAAAAGUGAGAAAUCAGAAUGGUACAUUAUCAGAUGGCAAAAAGCACUAGUGUUUAAACAGAGGUGUCAAUAUAACGUAUCAAAAAUGUGCCAUGUAAAAGACUGCUAUAAUU